AAUAGAUACCCAGGUAGUCCACGCCGUAAACGAUGAGUGCUAAGUGUUAGGGGGUUUCCGCCCCUUAGUGCUGCAGCUAACGCAUUAAGCACUCCGCCUGGGGAGUACGGUCGCAAGACUGAAACUCAAAGGAAUUGACGGGGGCCCGCACAAGCGGUGGAGCAUGUGGUUUAAUUCGAAGCAACGCGAAGAACCUUACCAGGUCUUGACAUCCCGUUGACCACUGUAGAGAUAUAGUUUCCCCUUCAGGGGCAACGGUGACAGGUGGUGCAUGGUUGUCGUCAGCUCGUGUCGUGAGAUGUUGGGUUAAGUCCCGCAACGAGCGCAACCCUUGAUCUUAGUUGCCAUCAUUUAGUUGGGCACUCUAAGGUGACUGCCGGUGACAAACCGGAGGAAGGUGGGGAUGACGUCAAAUCAUCAUGCCCCUUAUGACCUGGGCUACACACGUGCUACAAUGGACGAUACAAACGGUUGCCAACUCGCGAGAGGGAGCUAAAUCCGAUAAAGUCGUUCUCAGUUCGGAUUGUAGG
rnacentral:rRNA from 1 species